ensembl:lncRNA
CUAACUUGAGAUGUUCUACAAAUCAUGCAGUCAACUUCCGUGUGUGUGGGAAAGCUGCAAGGAUGAUUACAUUGACGGCACGAAACCAAUUUAAAAUAAAAGAAGCAGAGGACUGCAUUUCCAGAGAAUUUUUUUUUCUUGGUUUCUCAACAAAUUAUGUGUUCCUAGAAGCUCAGUGGCCCCUAACCAGAAGUGUUUGAACCCAGAACUGGCCAGGUGGGUAGUGUGGGUUUGGAGACACUCGGGAUGUUCUGUGAAUGCCUCUGCUCUCUCUUGGAAAAGGCCAUUCCAGUCCCAUCUGAAGUGCCAGAGCUGAGAUUGUGUUUGUCACUCAGUGCAGAAAAACUGUAAUGAUCCUCUGAUGACAAUGCCCAUGGACUUGACCUACAAAUCACUUGAAUGACACAAUCCUAAUUCUAUUGAAGGGGUGAACCCUAAACUUGACGUGACCCCUUAAAAUCUUCCCAGCCUUUUCUGACUUCAGG